GACGAACGCUGGCGGCGCGCCUAACACAUGCAAGUCGAACGGAGUUUCCCCUUCGGGGGGAGCUUAGUGGCGGACGGGUGAGUAACACGUGAGGAACCUGCCUUUGAGAGCGGGAUACCGUCUGGAAACGGACGUUAAUACCGCAUAAUGCAGCGAGGCCACAUGGCCAUGCUGCCAAAGAUUUAUCGCUCAAAGAUGGCCUCGCGCCUGAUUAGAUAGUUGGCGGGGUAACGGCCCACCAAGUCUGCGAUCAGUAGCCGGACUGAGAGGUCGAACGGCCACAUUGGGACUGAGAUACGGCCCAGACUCCUACGGGAGGCAGCAGUGGGGGAUAUGCACAAUGGGCGAAAGCCUGAUGCAGCGACGCCGCGUGAGGGAAGACGG
rnacentral:rRNA from 1 species